AUAACUAGAUGUUGUUUGGACAACUAGGAAAGAGGAUUCAAAGAAAAGAAAGAAGAAAAAUUUGAAGAAAAGGGAGAAGAAAUUCUGCACACAAGUUGAAAAGAAUAUCGGGAAGGAACCCGAGGAAACGAGUCGAGGCUAAGGGACGACUCGCUUGAGAUAAAAGCAAGGAGAAAGCAGCAGAGUGAGCUGCGGAAUUGACAAGAUCUUUUUGAUCCCUUUUUGUACGGGUAUUAUUUUAUACCCUUAUGGUUAUUUUGAUGUAAAUACUGUAAUGUCAUAAGUAUCAAUGUAAAUUGAGC